CAAUCACUCCCUCCGUUCCAUAAUUCUUGUUGAAAUAUUACAUGUAUCUAGAAUUUUUUUAGGAAUGGACACAUUCAUUUUUUGACAAAUUUGAGACAAGAAUCAUGGAACGGAGGAAGUACAAA
rfam:Brachypodium distachyon strain Bd21 chromosome 3, whole genome shotgun sequence.